AUUUUCCUGUUUUGUUUGGCAAAUGAAAAUUCUAAUUUUGCCUCAGUGGGAAAUUCCCCUAUACCUAGCGUUUCUCUAGUACGCAAAAGGUAGGAGCGAAGACCCAAAUGAAUAUUGCCGGACCAGCAACGCCUGAGCUUCGCAGGAAAGCAACUGGAAGGUGGGAUAUGGCGGAACCCUAGCCUUCCUGGUUCUCCCCCCUACAAGCCCUGGAAGAUUAAGCACAAGAAGAAAAAGAUGAAGCUGGCCGUCCGCCAGUUCUACUCGGUGGACGAUUCUGGGAAAUUAAGUCUUGGAGGCUUGAGGAAGGAGUGCCCCAAUGCCGAGUGCAGUUUCAUUCUUGAAUAUAUGCUAGCAUCAGCUUUGGUACAAAAUUCUGAAUUAGAAUUAUUAUGUGUCCUCACCAAUGAUGGUUGAGUGGAAUCAAAUUUCUCUCUACUAUUAUAGUCUUAAAAUCAAUCAAUGAUUUUCUUCAAUUUUGCAUCCCAGUAAAAAACAUUUGGCGUUCCAGUAAGAGAAUUGUUUGGCUUUGUGGUGUAAAGACUUGACCAGAUAUUGCAGACUUAAGCCAUUAAGCCAUUGUUCUAUGCUUUAUCUAUCAUCACUUUCAACUUAUUAUCUUCAUAUUUACAAAUGUCGUAGGGAAGAAUUCUCAUGGAAAUGAAUUAUAUGCUGGCAUUUAGGUCUGCAGAGGCUUCUUUGAAGUUGUUACAGAGGUUUGAGCUCCUUUAAAUACUUACCCUGUCCCGGUGUGCAGGUAUGCAGUGUUUUUUGUCAGCAUAUAAUGGAGAUUUAGGAUUGAUUUCAGAAAUUUAAGAAUCAAGCUCAAGUUUAAUGCCAUGGAGUACAUGUGUUUAAAUUUAAGGCAAUGAAAAGUUCAAUGCAACAUUUGCUGCCACAGUUGCACCUACACUUCAACUCACUACUGCCAUCGUCACUUCUGUGUGAUCCAAACCCAAACUCUCCUGAAAAUGAGGAAGCUGCGUGGAUGUUUAGUGAGAACAAGCAUGAAUACAAUACAAAAGUACGUGAAACUGUUGAGCAGAGCUGGGCUGCUGAUUAAUUUACUCCAGCUUGGAUGCUAGGAAGCUACGUGAAAUUGUUGAGCAGAGCUGGGCUGCUGAUCAAUUUACUCCAGCUUGGAUGCUAAGAAGCUUUAAAAUUUCAGUCAGACUGACCUGUUUGAAUAACUAUGAAACUUGAAAAAUCAUUUUGCCUCGAACUACUUGUGAUUAUGUGAAAUAUUUGCUUGGUUUGCAUGGACAGUGUUUGACCACUUAUCAAUGUAUCCAUAUUUUAUGCA